AUCGAACGCUGGCGGCAGGCCUAACACAUGCAAGUCGAACGGGUGGCGGACGGGUGAGUAAUGCUUGGGCAUCUAGCUUAUGUAGGGGGCUAAGGACGGGAAACUGUAGCUAAUACCGCUUAACAUCGGUUGAGCCCACGUGGGUUUGGGUAGUGGCGGUGGUAAAGGCUCACCAAGACGACGAUCCCUAGCUGGUCUGAGAGGAUGACCGGCCACACUGGGACUGAGACACGGCCCAGACUCCUACGGGAGGCAGCAGUAGGGAAUAUUGCGCAAUGGGCGAAAGUCUGACGGAGCAACGCCGCGUGAGUGAAGAAGGCCUUCGGGUCGUAAAGUUCUUUCGGUAGAGAAGCGGUAUCUAACGAGGAAGCCCCGGCUAACUCCGUGCCAGCCGCCGCGGUAAUAC
rnacentral:rRNA from 1 species